UACAGAGGGCGCAAGCGUUGUUCGGAUUCAUUGGGCGUAAAGGGCGCGUAGGCGGCGCCGUAAGUCGGGUGUGAAAUUUCGGAGCUUAACUCCGAAACUGCAUUCCAUACUGCGGUGCUUGAGGACUGGAGAGGAGACUGGAAUUUACGGUGUAGCAGUGAAAUGCGUAGAGAUCGUAAGGAAGACCAGUGGCGAAGGCGGGUCUCUGGACCGUACCUGACACUGAGGCACGAAGGCCAGGGGAGCAAACGGG
rnacentral:rRNA from 1 species